rnacentral:rRNA from 1 species
ACUAAGCGUACACGGUGGAUGCCCUGGCAGUCAGAGGCGAUGAAGGACGUGCUAAUCUGCGAUAAGCGUCGGUAAGGUGAUAUGAACCGUUAUAACCGGCGAUUUCCGAAUGGGGAAACCCAGUGUGUUUCGACACACUAUCAUUAACUGAAUCCAUAGGUUAAUGAGGCGAACCGGGGGAACUGAAACAUCUAAGUACCCCGAGGAAAAGAAAUCAACCGAGAUUCCCCCAGUAGCGGCGAGCGAACGGGGAGCAGCCCAGAGCCUGAAUCAGUGUGUGUGUUAGUGGAAGCGUCUGGAAAGGCGCGCGAUACAGGGUGACAGCCCCGUACACAAAAAUGCACAUGCUGUGAGCUCGAUGAGUAGGGCGGGACACGUGGUAUCCUGUCUGAAUAUGGGGGGACCAUCCUCCAAGGCUAAAUACUCCUGACUGACCGAUAGUGAACCAGUACCGUGAGGGAAAGGCGAAAAGAACCCCGGCGAGGGGAGUGAAAAAGAACCUGAAACCGUGUACGUACAAGCAGUGGGAGCACGCUUAGGCGUGUGACUGCGUACCUUUUGUAUAAUGGGUCAGCGACUUAUAUUCUGUAGCAAGGUUAACCGAAUAGGGGAGCCGAAGGGAAACCGAGUCUUAACUGGGCGUUAAGUUGCAGGGUAUAGACCCGAAACCCGGUGAUCUAGCCAUGGGCAGGUUGAAGGUUGGGUAACACUAACUGGAGGACCGAACCGACUAAUGUUGAAAAAUUAGCGGAUGACUUGUGGCUGGGGGUGAAAGGCCAAUCAAACCGGGAGAUAGCUGGUUCUCCCCGAAAGCUAUUUAGGUAGCGCCUCGUGAAUUCAUCUCCGGGGGUAGAGCACUGUUUCGGCAAGGGGGUCAUCCCGACUUACCAACCCGAUGCAAACUGCGAAUACCGGAGAAUGUUAUCACGGGAGACACACGGCGGGUGCUAACGUCCGUCGUGAAGAGGGAAACAACCCAGACCGCCAGCUAAGGUCCCAAAGUCAUGGUUAAGUGGGAAACGAUGUGGGAAGGCCCAGACAGCCAGGAUGUUGGCUUAGAAGCAGCCAUCAUUUAAAGAAAGCGUAAUAGCUCACUGGUCGAGUCGGCCUGCGCGGAAGAUGUAACGGGGCUAAACCAUGCACCGAAGCUGCGGCAGCGACACUAUGUGUUGUUGGGUAGGGGAGCGUUCUGUAAGCCUGUGAAGGUGUACUGUGAGGUAUGCUGGAGGUAUCAGAAGUGCGAGUGCUGACAUAAGUAACGAUAAAGCGGGUGAAAAGCCCGCUCGCCGGAAGACCAAGGGUUCCUGUCCAACGUUAAUCGGGGCAGGGUGAGUCGACCCCUAAGGCGAGGCCGAAAGGCGUAGUCGAUGGGAAACAGGUUAAUAUUCCUGUACUUGGUGUUACUGCGAAGGGGGGACGGAGAAGGCUAUGUUGGCCGGGCGACGGUUGUCCCGGUUUAAGCGUGUAGGCUGGUUUUCCAGGCAAAUCCGGAAAAUCAAGGCUGAGGCGUGAUGACGAGGCACUACGGUGCUGAAGCAACAAAUGCCCUGCUUCCAGGAAAAGCCUCUAAGCAUCAGGUAACAUCAAAUCGUACCCCAAACCGACACAGGUGGUCAGGUAGAGAAUACCAAGGCGCUUGAGAGAACUCGGGUGAAGGAACUAGGCAAAAUGGUGCCGUAACUUCGGGAGAAGGCACGCUGAUAUGUAGGUGAAGUCCCUCGCGGAUGGAGCUGAAAUCAGUCGAAGAUACCAGCUGGCUGCAACUGUUUAUUAAAAACACAGCACUGUGCAAACACGAAAGUGGACGUAUACGGUGUGACGCCUGCCCGGUGCCGGAAGGUUAAUUGAUGGGGUUAGCGCAAGCGAAGCUCUUGAUCGAAGCCCCGGUAAACGGCGGCCGUAACUAUAACGGUCCUAAGGUAGCGAAAUUCCUUGUCGGGUAAGUUCCGACCUGCACGAAUGGCGUAAUGAUGGCCAGGCUGUCUCCACCCGAGACUCAGUGAAAUUGAACUCGCUGUGAAGAUGCAGUGUACCCGCGGCAAGACGGAAAGACCCCGUGAACCUUUACUAUAGCUUGACACUGAACAUUGAGCCUUGAUGUGUAGGAUAGGUGGGAGGCUUUGAAGUGUGGACGCCAGUCUGCAUGGAGCCGACCUUGAAAUACCACCCUUUAAUGUUUGAUGUUCUAACGUUGACCCGUGAUCCGGGUUGCGGACAGUGUCUGGUGGGUAGUUUGACUGGGGCGGUCUCCUCCUAAAGAGUAACGGAGGAGCACGAAGGUUGGCUAAUCCUGGUCGGACAUCAGGAGGUUAGUGCAAUGGCAUAAGCCAGCUUGACUGCGAGCGUGACGGCGCGAGCAGGUGCGAAAGCAGGUCAUAGUGAUCCGGUGGUUCUGAAUGGAAGGGCCAUCGCUCAACGGAUAAAAGGUACUCCGGGGAUAACAGGCUGAUACCGCCCAAGAGUUCAUAUCGACGGCGGUGUUUGGCACCUCGAUGUCGGCUCAUCACAUCCUGGGGCUGAAGUAGGUCCCAAGGGUAUGGCUGUUCGCCAUUUAAAGUGGUACGCGAGCUGGGUUUAGAACGUCGUGAGACAGUUCGGUCCCUAUCUGCCGUGGGCGCUGGAGAACUGAGGGGGGCUGCUCCUAGUACGAGAGGACCGGAGUGGACGCAUCACUGGUGUUCGGGUUGUCAUGCCAAUGGCACUGCCCGGUAGCUAAAUGCGGAAGAGAUAAGUGCUGAAAGCAUCUAAGCACGAAACUUGCCCCGAGAUGAGUUCUCCCUGACUCCUUGAGAGUCCUGAAGGAACGUUGAAGACGACGACGUUGAUAGGCCGGGUGUGUAAGCGCAGCGAUGCGUUGAGCUAACCGGUACUAAUGAACCGUGAGGCUUAACC